AGCUGGAGUUCAUCUUCUCCACCGUGCCUUAUCCCCACGAGCCUCUGCUCCACACACAAGGCCGCACACGCCCUCCCUUAAUCAGUCGACGCCAGACGCUGCUUCCAGGCCCUUCUCCUUCCUCGCAGCGCUCCCAGCUCGACUCUCUGGCGCCCCUCGCCUUAUCUUCCAUAGACGCGCCGCUCCACCUCUAGCUUCUUCAUCGCCGCGCCCUGGCUCCAGCUCUUCCCACGCCGACGCGCCGCCCUCCGCCACCUCGCCGGCCAUGGCGCCCCUCAUUCCCAUCUCCCUCAUCUCCCAUGGCCGCGCAGCUCCUCCUCAAGUCGCGCCCGUCCCCUAGGCACGCGUUCGCCGGCGCUCAAGCCCUCUCCCAGAUCGUGUCGGCCAACCUCGACGUCGGCCCUCUGCCCGCUGGUGGCCAGCGCUCGCCUUGACGGACCCUUUGCUUGUUGUUCACAAAAAAUUUAUCACCUUAUAUUAUACGAUGCAUUAGGUGAGUUGUGUGACAAUUGAUGUAUUAUCAUCCUUAGAAACUUGA
rnacentral:misc_RNA from 1 species